rnacentral:lncRNA from 1 species
UUUCUUUCAUAGCAUCCUUGGCUGAAGCUUGACUUCCUUGAGGGGAUGAAGCAACCUCUUAAUUAUCGGGGGAGGAGAUAGAAGAGCAGAGUCCAGUGGCAUCCUUGGAGGCGUGGAUGACGGAGCAGCAUCUCAGGUUUAUAGGCAGUGGCAGCAGUUGGAGGAAGGGUUUGCUUUGCGAAUUGCGCUUCGGACAGCUGCCUCCACUUCUGGCUGCAAGAACUCCAAAGCUGCUGGAGACCAUGAAGAUUGCGGUAUCCAUCGCGGUGAUCCUCGUGGUUCUGUCUGUCAUGGCAGAUUCUGCUGAGGCUCCACAGAAAGAAAAAAGCCUGUCUGAAAAGUUUGAAAAAUUCCAGCACGACGUUCAGUCUUUUGUCCAACGCGUUGGCGAGAAGACCAAAGAAGCUUUCCAUGACCUUCACAACAGUGAAUUCAGUAAUAAGACUAGGAGCUGGAUCAAAGAGAACUUCCAGAAGCUGAAGGACAAAUUCAAGGCCAUUUCCUAGGAUGGAUCAAAAUGAUCCUGCCCCUGUUUCACCCACAUCUCCACGUAUGGCUUUCUCAUACCCCAUAUCCCAUCCUUGAUGAUCAUGUAGAGAAACUUCUGGCUCUCCAAGGGAAAGAAUGAAGAAUACAGGUGGUACCUGCUUGGCUGCACCUCUGUAACUGCCCUGUUAUUUUCUACUUUUGUUGUUUUUGUUCAUGAUUUAUGGGAAUAAUUUCUUAGACACAAAUAAAUGAAAGGAUUAUUUCCUGGUGAAAUAGAAU